GAUGAACGCUGGCGGCGUGCUUAACACAUGCAAGUCGAACGAGAAGUGAAGACGGAAACCUUCGGGCGGAAGGCUUUAUUUCGAGUGGCGGACGGGUGAGUAACGCGUGGGUAACCUGCCUCAUACAGGGGGAUAACAGUUGGAAACGACUGUUAAUACCGCAUAAGACCACAGCACCGCAUGGUGCGGGGGUAAAAACUCCGGUGGUAUGAGAUGGACCCGCGUUCGAUUAGCCAGUUGGCGGGGUAACGGCCCACCAAAGCGACGAUCGAUAGCCGAUCUGAGAGGAUGACCGGCCACAUUGGGACUGAGACACGGCCCAAACUCCUACGGGAGGCAGCAGUGGGGAAUAUUGCACAAUGGGGGAAACCCUGAUGCAGCGACGCCGCGUGAGUGAAGAAGUAUUUCGGUAUGCAAAGCUCUAUAAGCAGGGAAGAAAAUGACGGUACCUGAGGAAGAAGCCCCGGCUAACUACGUG
rnacentral:rRNA from 1 species